rnacentral:rRNA from 1 species
GACGAACGCUGGCGGCGUGCCUAAUACAUGCAAGUCGAACGGUCUUUUCUAUGGAAGCUUGCUUCCACUGAGAAGAUAGUGGCGAACGGGUGAGUAACACGUGGGUAACCUGCCCAUAAGAGGGGGAUAACAUCCGGAAACGGGUGCUAAUACCGCAUAGUUUUCUUGAUCGCAUGAUCGGGAAAGGAAAGACGGCCUUUGUGCUGUCGCUUAUGGAUGGACCCGCGGCGUAUUAGUUAGUUGGUGGGGUAACGGCUCACCAAGACGAUGAUACGUAGCCGACCUGAGAGGGGGAUCGGCCACAAUGGGACUGAGACACGGCCCAAACUCCUACGGGAGGCAGCAGUAGGGAAUCUUCCGCAAUGGACGAAAGUCUGACGGAGCAACGCCGCGUGAGUGAAGAAGGUUUUCGGAUCGUAAAACUCUGUUGUCAGAGAAGAACAAGUUGGAGAGUAACUGCUCCAGCCUUGACGGUAUCUGACCAGAAAGCCACGGCUAACUACGUGCCAGCCGCCGCAGUAACAC